CGCUUUUAGUUUAAAUUUUAAAACAUAUUCGAGGUGGUACUAAAGCGUUAUUACUAAUAAAGAGGUUAUUGGUUUUCGUCUGUAUAAGUCGCUAAGUUUCUUCCGUCCGGCCCGCUUGACUGGGCCGUGUUGAUCGUUCCCUGUCAACCGCGUGAUGACUGAACUGGGCCUGGUCAACACUUCCCCUCCUACGCCAGAGAGCUUUCCCCCGCGGGCCGCGCAGGCAACUCCUCCUCCUCCUCUACCUCCGCCUCCCUGCGUCGCUCGCCGGGCCCGAGGACGACGACGAGCCCUUCCUGGAAGAGGAGGAGGAGGGCACCGUCGAGCUCGUGCAGCUCGGCGCCAACCACGGCAAGAACGUCCUCAUCCUCACGAGCGACACCGGCGGGGGUCACCGCGCCUCCUCCGAAGCCAUCAAGGACGCCUUCGGCGACGACUACCGAUCUUCGUCAAGGAUCUCUGCAAGGACCACGCCGGCGGGCCGCUCAACAACAUGGGGGGCUCUUACAAGUUCAUGGUGAAGCACGUACAACUCUGGAAGCUGCCCUUCCACGGCACAUCGCCAAGAUGGUCUGAUUCCGAUUAUACAGCACUGCGAUGCUACCUCUACUGAACACACGUGUAACUACAGUUGAAGGAUCACAAAUAUAUGGUCCAGUAAUGCACGGUAAAUCUGUAUCCAGGCAGAUUCAGUCCACCUCUUCACCACCGUGACCCACACCUACGACCUGGCUUGGUUGUGGUGCUAAUUCAGCAAUGCAAGUCUGAUCCCUUCAACUCUCAGGUGUCUUAUUCCACUACUUCAUGAUGAUGCUUGGCAGGGAGAGGGUUCAGAGUAGGGAUGGCGGGAGCGUUUGAGUUGUACUGGCAGUCCGCCAUCGGCAGGGCCGUCAUGGAGACGCUGGACGAGAUGGUCCUUAGCCCCGAUCAUGCCAUCAGCGUCCAAGUACAGUUCGAUCAGUUCAUGAGCACUGGACAACCAGCUCAAGAGCAAGGCCUUCUUCAAUGUACCAACCAUAAUGCCACGUCUCUUUUUUGUUCCACACAUUCAUCACUACACUGUACAUAUUCCAAAGGAAUAAUGCUGAAAUAACGUGUUGUUGCGACAUGUUAGUGUAACGGUACUAAUGCAGAUGAAUUUUUUGUAGGGAAGAUGCAGAUGACUUGUGUGCUUGAUUAUGGUUGGCUUGUGUGCUUAAUUAUGAAGUUAAUUACUCGGCCGCCACAGGGAAUUAUUCUUUUGGGAUCAUAUUUAUUCUCCGCAAAAAGUAAUCUCAACUUGCUUAAAGGCCACAUUUGGCAGUUGCUUAAACCUUCUGGACAAGACACACAGACAUACAACUAUGUGACAACUUAAUGCCUUUGGGAAUUUUGAUGGCUUUUCCUAACAAGAAAAUAUAACAAUAGCUGCGAAUGUUAAUUACUUAGUUUAUCAAAGGUAAAAUGUCUGCUACAUGACAAGUAUGUGGAUUGAUUUUAUGUGAACUGACUAAUUGGAUGGUUUGGUUCCUUGUGCUACGUUUUGAAAAAGAACAUACUUAUAUGUUCCACUGUAUUGAUAUCAUAUGGCGAAUUACAUAUUUGUUACUAGCUAAAGCUGAAGAAAUGUUUACGCAAAGAACAUUCAUUUUCACAUUGCCUGGCAUGCGUCUAGGUCAUUCUAUUUAUUACCAUUGCUGAAAGUUGUACUUCUCUGCAUGCCGAUAGUUUCAUUCGAAUAGCUCUUCCUAGAUUUUUCUUUAGUUCAUUCCAUCCAGUAGUUUGAUAGCUUUGUGAUUAUUUUGAGAAAAAAUGAUCUGUCUUGCAGACUAAAAACAAUCUCAUCCAGUAGUUUGAUAUUUUGGUCAUUAUUCCAAACUAAUUGAUCCAUGUAGCAGACUGAAAACAAUUAGAUGCUGAUGCAAUCAUGGUCUGAGAUUAUUAACGAGUGAGGACACGCAUAGGGUUGCUUCCUACUGGUACAUAACUAUUUUCUUUCUACAUGUACUAUGUUGAUUCUUCAGAGAUCUCGUCUUCAUGAGACUAGCGAAGGGGGUAUACGUUAGGAAGAAGGGGAGACGAGGAAUUAAUCAGAUAGUAUAUGGGCUGAAUAAUUUUGAACUAGCUACUAUUUCUAAAUGGAGUGCCAUGUUCAAAUAGAGGAAGUGAAGUUGUGGUGGGUUCUGAGCCAUGCUUCAGGAUAGGGGUGUACCAUAUUAUUUUUCUCCCGUUGCAAUGCACGGACUUUUUUGCUAGAAGAUCUCUUGCCCUUUUCUUUGUACGUAGUAAAUUUACACUCAAGCUUUGUUUAAAUAGAAGCGAAAUUGCUGUA